CUUGGAGGUUGUUAGUGCUUCA
rnacentral:siRNA from 1 species